rnacentral:rRNA from 1 species
AACGCUGACAGAUGCUUAACACAUGCAAGUCGAUGGGGAAGGCUGAGCUUGCUCAGCUGGUAACCAUGGCGGACGGGUGAGUAACGCGUAAGGAACUUACCUGCGGGACUGGGAUAACGGAGGGAAACUUCUGACAAGACCGGAUAAAGUUACUGGGCAGCAUUGUUUGGUAAUGAAAGGAGACGCCUGCGGAGAGUCUUGCGUCCUAUUAGCUAGUUGGUUGGGUAACGGCUGACCAAGGCGAAGAUAGGUAGCCGGCCUGAGAGGGUGGACGGCCACAAGGGGACUGAGAUACGGCCCUUACUCCUACGGGAGGCAGCAGUGGGGAAUAUUGGACAAUGGGGGCAACCCUGAUCCAGCAAUUCUGUGUGCACGAAGAAGGUUUUCGGAUUGUAAAGUGCUUUCAGCAGGGAAGAAGGAAGUGACGGUACCUGCAGAAGAAGCGACGGCUAAAUACGUGCCAGCAGCCGCGGUAAUACGUAUGUCGCGAGCGUUAUCCGGAAUUAUUGGGCAUAAAGGGCAUCUAGGCGGCCUAACAAGUCAGGGGUGAAAACCUGCGGCUCAACCGCAGGCCUGCCUUUGAAACUGUAAGGCUGGAGUACCGGAGAGGUGGACGGAACUGCACGAGUAGAGGUGAAAUUCGUAGAUAUGUGCAGGAAUGCCGAUGAUGAAGAUAGUCCACUGGACGGAAACUGACGCUGAAGUGCGAAAGCCGGGGGAGCGAACAGGAUUAGAUACCCUGGUAGUCCCGGCCGUAAACGAUGAUUACUGGGUGUGGGCAGGAAGACUGUCUGUGCCGAAGCGAAUGCGAUAAGUAAUCC